rnacentral:rRNA from 1 species
GACGAACCGGGCGAACGUUAUUCGGAAUCACUGGGCUUAAAGGGUGCGUAGGCGGGCCCGUCAGUCAGGGGUGAAAUCCCACGGCCCAACCGUGGAAGUGCCUCUGAUACUGCGGGCCUGGAGGGGGGUAGGGGCGUGCGGAACUUCCGGUGGAGCGGUGAAAUGCGUAGAUAUCGGAAGGAACACCGGUGGCGAAAGCGGCGCGCUGGAUCCCUACUGACGCUGAGGCACGAAAGCCAGGGGAGCAAACGGG